rnacentral:rRNA from 1 species
AGUAGGACGCACAGUUUAUACCGUAGCUUGCUACACCAUAGACUGUGAGUUGCGAACGGGUGAGUAACGCGUAGGUAACCUGCCUAUUAGAGGGGGAUAACUAUUGGAAACGAUAGCUAAUACCGCAUAACAGUAUGUAACACAUGUUAGAUGCUUGAAAGAUGCAAUUGCAUCGCUAGUAGAUGGACCUGCGUUGUAUUAGCUAGUAGGUAGGGUAAAGGCCUACCUAGGCAACGAUACAUAGCCGACCUGAGAGGGUGAUCGGCCACACUGGGACUAAGACACGGCCCAGACUCCUACGGGAGGCAGCAGUAGGGAAUCUUCGGCAAUGGGGGGAACCCUGACCGAGCAACGCCGCGUGAGUGAAGAAGGUUUUCGGAUCGUAAAGCUCUGUUGUUAAGGAAGAACGAGUGUGAGAAUGGAAAGUUCAUGCUGUGACGGUACUUAACCAGAAAGGGACGGCUAACUACGUGCCAGCAGCCGCGGUAAUACGUAGGUCCCGAGCGUUGUCCGGAUUUAUUGGGCGUAAAGCGAGCGCAGGCGGUUAGAAAAGUCUGAAGUGAAAGGCAGUGGCUCAACCAUUGUAGGCUUUGGA